rnacentral:rRNA from 1 species
UCGAGAAUCUUUCGCAAUGGGCGAAAGCCUGACGAAGCGACGCUGUGUGAGGGAUGAAGGCCUUCGGGUUGUAAACCUCUUUCGCUUGGGAACAAGAGAGGGUAGUGAAUAACUAUCCGAUUUGAGGGUACCAGGUAAAGAAGCACCGGCUAACUACGUGCCAGCAGCUGCGGUAAUACGUAGGGUGCAAGCAUUAAUCGGAAUUAUUGGGCGUAAAGGGCGCGUAGGCGGAUAUGUAAGUCAGAUGUGAAAUUCCAAAGCUCAACUUUGGAGCUGCAUUUGAAACUACAAAUCUAAGAGGGAUGGCGGAGAAAGCGGAAUUCCACGUGUAGCGGUGAAAUGCGUAGAUAUGUGGAAGAACACCGGUGGCGAAAGCGGCUUUCUAGCUAUUUCCUGACGCUGAGGCGCGAGAGCAAGGGGAGCAAACA